rnacentral:misc_RNA from 1 species
ACCCUGAUCCCAAGCACCAAGGAGCCGACGAUUUGGAUCAAGUCCUACAUCCCAAGCACCAAGGUGCCUGGUUGAAGCACCAAGGAUCAAGUCCUACAUCCCGAUUUGAAGCACCAAGGAGCCUAGGUUAUGGAUAAAGACCCCGAUCUGAAGCGACAAGGAGGAAAGGAUUUAGAUCAAGACUCUGAUCACAAGCACCAAGGCGCCGAGGAAUUGGAUCAAGAUCAAGUAGGCUAUGUUAUUAUAUGUUUCCCACACCGUUCAGGGCAUUUUGGUGGUUGUAUCGGCUUUUUGUUGCUUGCUUGGUGUUAGUGCCAAGGGAGUGGCUGGAAGCUAGGUCGUCCUCUGGAAUGCUUGUUGUAAAGGUGUAUGAGUUGUGUUUGGCUUGUUACGGGUGUUUGUUGGCUGCUUGUGCAGGAACUUUCAUGCGUUCAAGCCUCUUCAGUUGUGCUACAAGGCCUUGUUUGUCUUGUGCUUACGGUGGGUUUCCUGUGUUGCAUACCUUAUCAAGGGCAUCGUGUGGCUCGAUCGAAGUACAUAUUCGUAAUGCGCUGCUUGCGGCGUUGAACGAACCUCGAAGCGAUCUCUGUGGCCCAUGUUGUCUUUGCUCACGCAUGGAUGGCAUGGCCCUCGGGGCGUCGCUUGGUCUCUUGGAUAUGGAACCUGAUGAUGUGGGCGGUAGGGUCUUUGAUGAUUCUACCUUUGC